GUCAGGAUGGCCGAGUGGUCUAAGGCGCCAGACUCAAGGUGUAUACCUUUCCCGAGGGCAUUCUGGUCUCCGAAUGGAGGCGUGGGUUCGAAUCCCACUUCUGACA
rnacentral:tRNA from 1 species